CGCGAGCUGCACACAUACGCGACCCCUGGAGAGGGAGGGAGCUUCUUGUAGGCCAUUGGAGCAGUCAGAAAGGAAUCGCAGCCGUCGUCCUACUCAUCAGCCACGGUUGUGGGAAGAAGCAUAGGAGACGGCGGAGGCCAUGACCACCGGAUCUGAGGAGGGGAAGCCGUGCGGCCAUCGCGCCGGGAUAGCACCUUAGCCUCACCGAGAUCGAGGGGAGGCGACCCGAUAGGAAGAGGAUGGCCGCCGGGGAGGCACGGAGAGCUCGGGCGGAUGCAUAGUUGUCGGGGUAGCUACCCAGGGGGCAGGGGGUGGACGAGUGAGGUGGAACCUGAUCCCGCCGGAUCCGGUGGUUGCUUGGCAGGGGCGUGGCCGGAGUUGAUGGCUGACCCUGGGGAUGACGGCGGCGGGGCGUGAGCCGUUGGCAGCGGUGGCUCGUAUCUACGGCGGCGUGAGAGGAGGGGUCCGGGAUGGGGACCAGGGGGCGGGGAGGCGAUGGUGUGCUCCUCGAUCCUGUUGCGUGGCGGCGUGGUAGACCGAAACCACCCGGAUCCGUCCCCGAGGAGGUUCUGGGGGGAAGGUGGUGGUAGGUAGCCAGCGCCGGCGCCAGGGGGACACCCAAGAUUUGGCCCAAACAAAUCAGUAGAUGUCUUCAUUCAACGACCCACAAGCCGACAGCCCACACAGCAUGCCGGCUACAGGCCUACAACUCAGCUGACCACCUUGUUACAUUGAUUCGUUCGACCCCAAUCCAUACCCCAACCUAACCUAGCGCGAGCGGCGGCGGCGGCGGUGUGGCCAGUACUACAAGCAGCGGCCAAGGGCCAACGGAGCCGGCGACGGGCGACCAGAUGAAGAAGGGUGUUAGCAUAUUUGCAUUGUGGGAAAGAGCUUCGAAGGCAAAGAAAACAUGUUCUACAUCUACUGAUCUACAUCAAAACCUUUGCUGGUAGCCUGGAUGGGGUUGGCCGGAUCCGUGUCCGAAGUGGACUCCUCGAGAAGGAGCAAUAGGGAGGAAGGGGGCGCACCAUGGCUAUGGGUUGUGGAAGAGCGCGAGGUGGUGGGGUGGCGCCGUGGAGGGAG